UUAACUCAGUCUGACUGGAAGAAUUUAGGACCACUGCAUCCUGUCUUAAUCCAAGGGUGGAUCCUUAGGGUGUUGACUGCUGCAGUUUCAAGCUUACAUCUGCACCCUGCAGAAUCCAGAGGAAGAGACAAUGCCUGUUCCAGUGGCUCUCAAGAAAUUCUUUUCCAGCCAGGCAUGGUGGCUCAUGCCUGUAAUCCCAGCACUUUGGUAGGCUAAGUACUGGACUGGUUCUGAUGCUUUCACCAGUAACAGAAGCUCAAGCUGUGCUCAACUGACCCCCAAGGAUCCAGCCUGUCUCUGGGAUUCUCUAGGCCGUCCCGGAACUCCUACCAUGACCAGGGAAGUGUAGGGUUGGGGUUUGGCCCUAGACCUCUUAUCUGUCCACCUGCAAAGCCGUUUUAGUAACAGAUUUGGAAGCAAAGUAAGGUUUUUGAUGGCAGCUUGGUCACCAGCACUUCACUUAGGAACCAGUGCUGGGGAAGCGGAUGGGACAAUUUCUGAGUGUCUCCUGGGACAGACACAUAGGCCAUCGCUCCGCUAGGGGCAUGGAGGGUAUGUGUG
rnacentral:lncRNA from 1 species